rnacentral:misc_RNA from 1 species
AAGUCGUAACAAGGUAUCUGUAGGUGAACCUGCAGAUGGAUCAUUUCGAUGAAAACCUUUUUUUCCUGAGGUGUGGCUCGCACCUGUCUAACUAAACUUGAGCUACCUUUUUUCAACACGGUUGCAUCGGUUCGAGUGUCGAAAAAAAAGAACGCGAAAGUGUGGUUUUUUUUUUCUGGCCUCGACACUUUACACAAACACUUUUUGAUUUACUAGGAUUGGAAGGAACAAUUGAUGACUGGUAAUUCGGUCAUUUAAAUGUUUAAAAAACAACUUUUGGCAACGGAUCUCUUGGUUCUCC